ACUCCAGCCUGGGCGACAGAGCAAGACCCUGUCUAAAAAAAUAAAUAAAAUAGUAAAAAGGCUAAGCUUGUACCACAGAGUCUUCAAGAUCCCAGAUCCUAUCUAUCUCAUGCUCCGUCAUAUACAGCGCUGGCCCUCGGGUCAGGGUGGUGUCAUCACUCCACUGCCCAGCCAGAGGGAAGAGGCAUCCAUAUCCCGGGUCCAUUUAGCUGUAAGAGAAGCUGGAAAAUGGCCGUGAGUUGGGCUCGUGUCCAGUUAGACCUAACUCAUCAGGGUGCGCAGCUCCAGUCCUCUCUUUCGGCAAGGAGAAAGCAUUCGUAUCACUUCUUGCUUCUCAAGCCCUACUGUUUCAGCGAUUCUCAUUGGAGAAGAAUCAGCAGUCGAAAAAACAGCGGGCCAAGCGCAGUCGUGACGUGGCGUUUAGAGAGCGGAAGUUGUCAGAUUUCACCGGGCCGUAAAGCGCGCUGGCUGUGUCAUCUUCCGGUUAGCGACAACGGCUCUGACCGUCCGGCAAUCCGCGUGGUGCCGGCGCUGGCCUUCCUGCAGGGGGACUCUACCGGAGCUUUGCCAAUUCCGUUUGUUUCCCUGUUGUCGCCCGCUUCACCCUGGAUCAUGUUCAAGAAGUUUGAUGAAAAGGAAAGUGUGUCCAACUGCAUCCAGUUGAAAACGUCAGUUAUUAAGGGCAUUAAGAGCCAACUGGUAGAGCAAUUUCCAGGUAUUGAACCAUGGCUUAAUCAAAUCAUGCCUAAGAAAGAUCCUGUCAAAAUAGUCCGAUGCCACGAACAUACAGAAAUCCUUACCGGGCUGACAGGUGGGAGGGAUAGCCCCACCCCAGGGAGUGGACUUACCUGGCCUCUCUGCUCAGAGAUCAUCAAUUAUGAAUUUGACACCAAGGACCUGGUGUGCCUGGGCCUGAGCAGCAUCGUUGGCGUCUGGUACCUGCUGAGGAAGCACUGGAUUGCCAACAACCUUUUUGGCCUGGCCUUCUCCCUUAAUGGAGUAGAGCUCCUGCACCUCAACAAUGUCAGCACUGGCUGCAUCCUGCUGGGCGGACUCUUCAUCUACGAUGUCUUCUGGGUAUUUGGCACCAAUGUGAUGGUGACAGUGGCCAAGUCCUUUGAGGCACCAAUAAAACUGGUGUUUCCCCAGGAUCUGCUGGAGAAAGGCCUCGAAGCAAACAACUUUGCCAUGCUGGGACUUGGAGAUGUCGUCAUUCCAGGGAUCUUCAUUGCCUUGCUGCUGCGCUUUGACAUCAGCUUGAAGAAGAAUACCCACACCUACUUCUACACCAGCUUUGCAGCCUACAUCUUUGGCCUGGGCCUUACCAUCUUCAUCAUGCACAUCUUCAAGCAUGCUCAGCCUGCCCUCCUAUACCUGGUCCCCGCCUGCAUCGGUUUUCCUGUCCUGGUGGCGCUGGCCAAGGGAGAAGUGACAGAGAUGUUCAGCUACGAGUCCUCGGCGGAAAUCCUGCCUCAUACCCCGAGGCUCACCCACUUCCCCACAGUCUCGGGCUCCCCAGCCAGCCUGGCCGACUCCAUGCAACAGAAGCUAGCUGGCCCUCGCCGCCGGCGCCCGCAGAAUCCCAGCGCCAUGUAAUGCCCAGCGGGUGCCCACCUGCCCGCUUCCCCCUACUGCCCCGAGGCCCAAGUUAUGAGGAGUCAAAUCCUAAGGAUCCAGCGGCAGUGACAGAAUCCAAAGGAACAGAGGCAUCAGCAUCAAAGGGGCUGGAGAAGAAAGAGAAAUGAUGCGGCUGGUGCCCGAGCCUUUCAGGGCCAGACCAGACAGAUGGGGGCUGGGCCCACACAGGCGUGCAUGGGCAGAGGGCACAGGAGGCUGAGGGCAGCUCCAGGACAGGGCAGGGGGCAGCAGGAUACCUCCAGCCAGGCCUCUGUGGCCUCUGUUUCCCUCUCCUUCUCCUGGCCCUCCUCUGCUCCUCCCCACACCCUGCAGGCAAAAGAAACCCCCAGCUUCCCCCCUCCCCCGGAGCCAAGUGGGAAAAGUGGGUGUGAUUUUUAGAUUUUGUAUUGUGGACUGAUUUUGCCUCACAUUAAAAACUCAUCCCAUGGCCAGGGCGAGCCACUGUGCUCCCGGAAGGUUCUCUGCGUAAGCACCCAGUGUCUUGCCGUAGGUUUUCUAGGUCUCACCUGCCCACCCAGAAUCUUUUCUGCAAGCCCCUUGAGGGUGCCCACCCCACAGUGCCUGGCCAGCCCUGCACCCCAAAAACACCUUUUAGCCAGUAGAGGGGGCCCACGAGCCUUCUCUCUCACCAGCUGUCACUUUUCUCACCACCUUCCUGGAAACACUUGGGGGCAGCAAGGGUGCUGGCAGAUGAGAGUCCCCCACUCACCGUGGUGAGAGCAGUGCGGAGUACCUAGGGCUGACCUGACUCACAAGGGAAGCAGUAACUGUAGAACCUGCCAACCUCCCUGGUCCCUGUGUCCAUAUGGCUUCGUCUGGUGAGGGCUUGGAGUCUAGGUUACCCUGAAGAUCAAGACUUUAUCUCUCCCAUUCUGCGCAUUCCUGGGUUUCUUCCCAAAAUUGUUGUGGGGCCAGUCACAGCACAAGGCCAGGACAGGACCUCUAGAGAGGCUGGAGUGAGGAAGGAUUGAGCCUAGUGAUUGUCAGAGGCUUUCUGGGGCCUAAGAGCUGAAAUCUUAGGGCCCAGGUUUCCCUAAAGUUUGCUGAAGACAGCAGCCCUGGCCAGCAGGACACCGACCCCACACCACCCCAAACCAGGCAAACAGUGGCCACAACCCUCAUCCACGCACCUGGUAUGAGGUCACUGAGUGGGGAAACAGAAGAGGGUGGCCACUGGACUGACGGACCCAGGGCUCUUCUUCACCCAAAGCUUCAGGUUCAAAGGCUGAAAAUAACAGUGGCUUCCAGUUUGGAAGUGACCGAAGGACAAUCAUGACCGGAGACUCAGGAGCGUGAUUGUAGUACCCUCACUAGGUAUUAACAUGUACUAAGUACCUUGAUAGAGGAUUUCACUUCCUUCUGA